CUUAUCUCUAGCAACCAACUUCAUUUGUAAGAUGUCAAUUACAGGACUGAUUUUUCUGGGAGACUUAGAAUCAUUAGAUAAUGACCAUGAGCCAAAGAUUCACUUUUGAGUUUGGUACGCACUGCUUGAAGGCUGGGUAUGACUAUAUGAUUGUUUUUUUUUUUUUUUCUCUCCCAGUUUGAACACAUUAAUUGGCAGAAGUUUCCCCUGUGAUCUUCCAGUACAACAUUCUUCCUGCAGCCACACCUGACCAGUGGGAGGACUGACUAAAUUCUUCAUCCUCUCCAUCCCAUGCCUUUACGUCUGCUGUGUCUCCCACGUGUUCGUGGAUCGUGCCUGAGGCUGGGACAGACAACUCACAACCAUGAAGAAAAGGCAAAGAGAAUCACAAAGAUGCCAGCCCAACGCUGGGAAGCUACUAGCCUACACCAAUGCUAACAACCAUCCAUUUAUGACUUCUUGUCAUGUGAGGAGAAUGAACCUUCUGUGUUUGGAAAAACGAAGGCUCAGAGACCCUGGAUCACCCAGUGAGUAAGCAGCAUGCCCAGGUCUAGCAUACCAUUCUCCUGCUUUCAGCUCUUGUAUGCUAUCCACAUGCUUACAGCAUGCUUGGACAAUGCAGAAACUCAGCUUUGGUACUUUGGGUAAUCUGUUCAUCUGUGAAAUGGGAUAACUCAUGCUGAUCUACGGACAAAAAUAACUGUAAGGAUGACAUGAAAUGAUGCAGAUAGCAGGCACUCAAAAAACAGAGCUCUAUCAACAUUCCUGCUUCCUCUCAAUGACUGGCACUGAACCGUCCUUAACACCCCAUUUCUAAGCCAAGAGAUUCUUCAAGACCAAGCCAAGUCUGCCGUGCCACUGUCCCCCGCAGGAGCCUCUGGCUUCAUCAAGCCCACAGAUCCACAGUUGCUUUGUUCGCCGAGUGACAUUUCUAUCAGGCACCACCUUGGGCUGGUCACAGAAACUUCGUAGGAGCCAUCAGUCCUGGAGCUCAGUACCCCAGGGUUGAUGCCUUGACAACUGUGUCACCACUCUCUUAUUACCUAUCUGGAGGGUCACCUUUCUGACAGACAGCUUUGAAAAUUCUUUAUUAAACUUUUUUUUUUUUUUAGUAGAAAAGACAGAUUAUAGUUCUGACAUGCUCUACUUAUUAUGACAUGAAACAAUGUUCUUAUUUCUUUUGCUUGGGGAUGUUGAACUGCUGGCUUUGGCCCAUGUGGGGUGUCACAAUGAUGUAUUAGUUAUUAGGUCAGACUUUCCGUAACCUUUACGUAUUCAUUUAUUCACUCACUCACUCACUUACUCACUCACUCACCUAUACAUUUGAAAGUCUACUGUGAACCGGGUCUAACAGAGGUUAGACAUUUAGUGGAUUACACAAAAAAAACAAAACAUUUACCCUCAGUCUUUGAUCUGAGGAUGUCCCAGUUUAAUAGGCAAUGCAAGGGGGCAAAAAAGAUAAAAUUUUACCGCCGUGGUAAGUGAAAUAAAAGACCUAUGUGUUGUACUUGGUAACAUAACUUUGGCAGGAUGGAAACCAGAAUUGGUAGUGUAUCUGUAGAGUGGGGUGCCUGGUUCACUCUGGAUGAUGACAGGUGGUACAGCAGCAGAGGCUGAAGACUAGAUUUUGUUGGAAUACUCUAUAAUCUGUGUAUAGGAGAAGGAAGAGGAGCUGAUCAUUCACAGUUGAAAUAAGCUGGUGACAGGUACUCCUCUCCAAAAGAAGGCCUGGGUGCCAGAUUUUGGGCUCAGAGUGACUUAAUAGUUCUGAUACACAUUUGAUAAAUAAUAUCACAAAGGCACCACUGAACAUCUGAAUAUAUGAACAGAGAGCUAUGAAAAAGGUAGUGACUAACCCUGCCAGGGGAGGUGUAGGAAGUGCCCCAGAAAAUAUGAUAUUUGAAGAGGGCAUUAAGCAUUCAGAGGGCAUUAAGCAUCCAUGAGAAGCGGAAGUAUGGCAUCUGAGCAGAGCAAAGGUGAAGGUGACAUGCUCUGAGAAGGAUGAGGAUUUCUUCAGAACAAAGUAUGAUUGGGGGCUGGGGUGGGAGGUGAAGCUCAGGGCACGUUGGGACCAUUUUAACACCAGGUCAUGGAGUCCAGGCUUUCUCUUCAGUAGGACUUGCUGGGCUGGUGGCUGGUUUAUGCAGAGGAGUGUUAUGAGAGACUGGAGUGCAGACAAAUCUCUCUGCGGGCGGUAUGGGUUUAUGGGAGGGUAGACUGAAAGCUCAGAGACACAAGGCAAAGAAACAGGUCAGGUGGCUACUACAACCACCCAAAAAGAGAAGCUGGGAGACCUUCCCUCAGGUUUCAAUCCAGCUAAGGCCAGUAAAACCCAUGUGUUCAUUUAGGAGACUCUUGUAUAUUUAUUAAAUAAAUAAACAAAAGAGAAAAGGCCAGGGAUCAAUGAGUUUCUUAAACAAAAAUUUAAAAGGCAAAACUAAGAUAUGUUAAAUAACACCUAGUAGAAUUUAAAGUGUACAUACUUUGUGGAAUAAAUGCAUAAAGACAUCAGAAAUAAUCAAGUAUGGAAUAAGGGUAUGGGUCUAGUGAAACAGGGCACUGAAAAAGCUGUAAACUUCCCAGGCAGAAACCUCUGCUCUCAUCCUGAGUCUGUUUUCAUUUAUGUAUCAUGUGAUAUCAUGUAUCAUGUGCAAUACAUGUGAUUAGUAAUUUGACUCACCCCCUCAGUAAAAGUCACAGUUCCUGUUUACCGAGCACCUGCUAGGCUUAAUCAUGCACAAUGCUCAGGAUACCACCUAUAUUAUCUCAGCCAAUCUGAACAACAAUGGCAAAGCAGGCUUUAUCAGGCCUGAGGUUCAGAGAGUUUAGGGAUUUACCCAAGGUUGCGGAGCAGUCAGCAGAAUUGAGAUUUGACCCUGAUCUAUCCAGCUGUGGAAAGAUUCUCUGCGACGGUACAUCCUCUGCGAUGGUGCGCCCUAGUUACUGUGAAGAUGAAAGGAGAUGAUGUGUGUAACACUCACAGACUGGGACCCAGGAUGUAUGCAUCAGAUUUUAGGGAAACAUUGGUCUUCUUUCUCACCAUGGUUCAAGGUCUUGGGAUGCCUCCAAGACACGCUGACAAAAAGUCCCAUGAUUUUGUAGCUUAGUGUGUUGUGCCACAAAAAAGCCUUCAAAAUUAUUAAAAUAAGUUUUCCCAUAACAAAAUAAGGGAUCUACAACUAAAUAGAAGUAUUAAUGAUUAUUUAAUACUUCAGAAAGAAUGAAAGAGAGGAGAGAUUUUCUAUACUUGGGGUCUAUGAAAUUCCCUUCUAUCCAUUAAAAAAAUAAAGAACUUUUAAAACAAGGUUGAAUAUGUUCCUCUUCUUCAUAACCAAGGUUCUCUAAGACAGAAAUAUUAACAGCAGAAAAAAUAUUGUGUUGAGAUUAAAUUAAGAAAAAUAUACAUAUAUAUGUACUUUUUUCCCCAGUUCAAAGGACGAUAAAAAAUAAACUACAUAUAUAUACCCCACAUAGAUAUAUAAAUAGUUAGAUAAAUAUAGAGAUAUAGAUAAUCUACUUUCAUGAUUUAUAAUAAGGACACAGAAAAAGGCUGGGAUGGCAGUGGGGAAUGAGCAGAGUCUGAAUUUCUGUACUCCAGCAUAGCACUUACACUAUGAGAAACAGUAUUAGCUAGAGCUAUGUUAGUGCAAUUGUUAAAAGCUCUGUAUUUUACAUGAAAACUUGAGCCAUUGAAAAUAACAGAAUUAGCUAGAACUGGCAUCAAGCCUUAAUGCCAGAAUGUAACCAGUCCACAGAGGUAGGAAGAUGUUCUUAGGCAGGGACCCAAAAAGAGGACUGACACAUAAUAAAGGAUCAGGAUAAUACAAGGCUAAUAAAAAAGAGAAAAGGGACUGAUGCUUUGCUAUUUCUGAGUAAGGAAUUCUUCUAGAUUCUUAGUGAGAAGGAAUUAAGGUAAAGCCAAAGCGAUACGUAGUAUUUAUGCUUUGUUGUAUAUAUUAUGGUUUAUGCAGCUUUUAAAUAAACUAUAUGUAGUUCAUUCUGUCUACGAUGGUAGCAAUAAUAGCUAUUAUUUAUUGAUGUCUUAUUAUAUACUUGAUGUUCAGCGAGGUAUUACAUAUGUCCACAUCUCUUUGCUCACAUGACUCCAAGCUGGCAUAGGCCUCUUCCCUGCAUCCAUCCUUCCAAGAGCAGAAAGCGUAUACCUGCUGGUGUAUGCUCCUUCAUUUCAAGGAGUUGCAAAGGAGUCUUAUAUAUAAAAGUGUGGAUGGAGCUUGGACAUGUGGGUGGAGGUGUCCAUUGGCAUAUGAACUGAGGCCCUUUGUAGUAUGGAUGGGAAGAGACAGAAGGUGGGCUGGGGGCUGGUUCUCCUACACUGCCACAGUCCAUCAUUAAACUUUGAAGAGUCCAAUAAUUCUAAACUAGAACCAUACCAUCUGGGUUUUAAUGAAAUUUGUCAAAGGUGGUAAGGGAUAAAAAAGACUUUAUUUAACAGUUAGCUUGAUUUUUAUAACCAUGAAGUAUUUAGCCAUAGGACACACGGUCCUCUAUUUGUACCCUUUUUCGGGGACUAUAAAUUCAGAGGUAGGUUUAGCACCUAGCACAGUGUCUG
rnacentral:lncRNA from 1 species